CAUGCCUAUUCUAGACCCACAUCACCAGUCCUCACCUCUACCACCGUAUCUCUCUAAGCCCCAGAAGUAGAGGGUCACUUGGGCAGGAAGUCGUCCACCUUCAGGUUGCCCACGUACCAGAAGUUCAGGCUGAGAAACAUGAUGAUGGUUCUGGAGAAGACCAAGAGGUCCCAGAAGCUGAAGGGAGCAAAGAUGCCCAGGAAGAACAGAAUGAGGCCUGUAGCGUCCAGGAAGAUGGAUGUGAAGAAGAGAAGGCAGCGACCCAGCUGAGUGUCGGUACAGGUGCUGAGUGUAGGUACAGGUGCUGAGUGUCGGUACAGGUAGAGGUGCUGAGUGUCGGUAAAAGUACAGGUGCUGAGUGUCGGUUCAGGUGCUGAGUGUUGGUACAGGUACAGGUGCUGAGUGUCGGUACAGGUGCUGAGUGUCGGUACAGGUGCUGUGUGUCGGUACAGGUGCUGAGUGUCGGUACAGGUGCUGAGUGUCGGUACAGGUGCUGAGUGUCGGUACAG
ensembl:lncRNA